UAAUCUCCCCAAUCAUGAGGGAGAGCCAAGAGGAAAGGAAUUGUCAGAUUGUCACACCACAAACUGCCUUUUACUAUCGACACAUUUGAAUGGGAGGAGAAGUCUCAGUUCUCUAAAUCACCAUCUGUUCCAAGGCAGGAGAUCCUUGGAGGUAGGACCAUGUGUACCACGAUGGUGGUCCUGACCACCAUCGCUCUCAUCCUGAGGCAGAGAUUCUCCAGCAAAAUCAAACCGCAGAAAGAGCCCAUUGAGAAAGACGUGCCAUACAUGAAGAGCAAUGGAGCAGCAGAAACGCACAAAUGACAACAGUGAGCAUCACAAGUGAUAGAGACAGACAGGAAAAGCAAGGGAGAGAGAUGCUGCGGUAAGGACUCAGCCUUAAUGGUACGCUCCCGGGGCGCCCUGUUGAUUUACUGUAAUUCUUUGGAAUAUUGGGCUGAGGCAUGAUCAGGCCAUCAUCUCAAGACUGAUUUAUCUGCACACACAGCUCACGCCAAGACUCCCACCAGGAUUUUGAAAAAUAACAACAAUGAAGCCAGUCAAUGAAGUCAUGGCUUCCCCUAUCUGUCCUGCAUAUGCUCUCAUCACUGGAACAGGAAACAGCAACUGAGUGAAUUCCAGUUUGGAAAAUGAUGCCUGCUGCUUAUUCGUCAUGAAAAACUGAAUUUACAACACUGUCACUUCAAAGUUAGUUAUAUGAUCAGGGUACAAAGUGACAAAACAUGUUAUGUGCCUCUGCAUAAAAACAAGCAGUAAUCAUUUUGUUUGAUUUCAUGUUUGCUUGCUUUUAAAAAAAUGAAAAUGUAAUGAAUUGUUUUAAAUGUAUGUUGACUGUAUGUAUCUUAAAGAGCAGCUUCUCUUAAGAUCUCAUAAGUGACCUAAUUCCUUCUGAAAAAGGGGCUAAAGUCAUGUGUUGUAUUGUAAAUGGCAGGUACUGCCAUUCUGUUAAUCCCAUAAAGGUUUAUGUUCUCACAGGAGAAUCCAAAGGCUUAAAUAAAGCGAUGGAAUGACAUUUAUGUGCCGUUGUGUACUUCUGGAUGCCAAUGAAGAUUGUCUCUCGCAUGCACAAAGAAUAACUGUGCUUAAUUUGCUGAUGAUUUAUGUAAAAGGCAUACAUCUUCUAAUAAUAACAUCGGUGAAGCAUUUCUUUUUCUUGUUCACUUCAUUCUUCUGAGUUUGAAAUGGACAGUUUCAUUUCUUGACAAUUCAUAUUUGGUUGCAUACAGCUUUAUUAUCAUCCUGUGCUGUAAGCAAGCAUGUCUUUUGCCUCCAAAGAGAAAAACAAUUAUUUGACACUACAUAUGAUAUGUAGGCUGACAUUACAGUAAAUGGUGUUCUCCUUCAAAA